AGUGAACGCUGGCGGUAGGCCUAACACAUGCGAGUCGAACGGCAGCACAGUAAGAGCUUGCUCUUACGGGUGGCGAGUGGCGGACGGGUGAGGAAUACAUCGGAAUCUACUUUUUCGUGGGGGAUAACGUAGGGAAACUUACGCUAAUACCGCAUACGACCUACGGGUGAAAGCAGGGGAUCUUCGGACCUUGCGCGAUUGAAUGAGCCGAUGCCGGAUUAGCUAGUUGGCGGGGUAAAGGCCCACCAAGGCGACGAUCCGUAGCUGGUCUGAGAGGAUGAUCAGCCACACUGGAACUGAGACACGGUCCAGACUCCCACGGGAGGCAGCAGUGGGGAAUAUUGGACAAUGGGCGCAAGCCUGAUCCAGCCAUACCGCGUGGGUGAAGAAGGCCUUCGGGUUGUAAAGCCCUUUUGUUGGGAAAGAAAAGCAGCAGGUUAAUACCCCGCUGUUCUGACGGUACCCAAAGAAUAAGCACCGGCUAACUUCGU
rnacentral:rRNA from 1 species